AUCUCUGGAACAGGUUUAUCCAUCUCUGGAACAGGUUUAUCCAUCUCUGGAACAGACACGGUGUAGGUUUAUCCAUCUCUGGAACAGGUUUAUCCAUCUCUGGAACAGGUUUAUCCAUCUCUGGAACAGGUUUAUCCAUCUCUGGAACAGAUUAACCCAUCUCUGGAACAGGUUUAUCCAUCUCUGGAACAGAUUUAUCCAUCUCUGGAACAGGUUUAUCCAUCUCUGGAACAGGUUUAUCCAUCUCUGGAACAGGUUUAUCCAUCUCUGGAACAGGUUUAUCCAUCUCUGGAACAGGUUUACCCAUCUCUGGAACAGAUUUAUCGAUCUCUGGAACAGACACCGUGUAGGUUUACCCAUCUCUGGAACAGGUUUAUCCACCUCUGGAACAGGUUUAUCCAUCUCUGGAACAGACACCGUGUAGGUUUACCCAUCUCUGGAACAGAUUUAUCGAUCUCUGGAACAGACACCGUGUAGGUUUACCCAUCUCUGGAACAGGUUUAUCCAUCUCUGGAACAGGUU